rnacentral:rRNA from 1 species
AGAGCGAACGCUGGCGGCGUGCUUAACACAUGCAAGUCGAGCGAGAAAGGGGGCUUCGGUCCCCGAGUAAAGCGGCGAACGGGUGAGUAACACGUGGAUAAUCUGUCCUUGAGACGGGGAUAACCUAGCGAAAGCUGGGCUAAUACCGGAUAAGACCACGGAAGGCAACUUCUGGGGUCAAAGGGAGCUUCCUCCGGGGAGCGCCCGCUUGAGGAGGAAUCUGCGUCCUAUCAGCUUGUUGGUGGGGUAAAAGCCUACCAAGGCGAAGACGGGUAGCUGGUCUGAGAGGAUGAUCAGCCACACAGGGACUGAGACACGGCCCUGACUCCUACGGGAGGCAGCAGUGGGGAAUAUUGGACAAUGGGGGAAACCCUGAUCCAGCGACGCCGCGUGGGUGAUGAAGGCUUUCGGGUCGUAAAGCCCUGUCAGGAGGAAAGAAUGCUCCUAUGAUAAAUACUCAUAGGAAGUGACGGUACCUCCAAAGGAAGCACCGGCCAACUCCGUGCCAGCAGCCGCGGUAAGACGGAGGGUGCAAGCGUUGCUCGGAAUUACUGGGCGUAAAGGGUGCGUAGGCGGCCUUUCAAGUCCGGCGUGAAAGCCCAGGGCUCAGCCUUGGAAGUGCGCUAGAAACUGAAUGGCUAGAGUAUCGGAUGGGAGAGUGGAAUUCCUGGUGUAGCGGUGAAGUGCGUAGAUAUCAGGAGGAAUACCGGUGGCGAAGGCGACUCUCUGGACGAUAACUGACGCUGAGGCACGAAAGCGUGGGGAGCAAACAGGAUUAGAUACCCUGGUAGUCCACGCCGUAAACGAUGGGCACUAGGUGUCGGGGGUAUCCACUCCUCCGGUGCCGCCGCUAACGCAUUAAGUGU